rnacentral:lncRNA from 1 species
UAUGAAAAUAAAACAUUCCCAUUUCAUUUGUGUGUAAUAUUUCUACUUGAGUGUGCAGGACAAAAUUAUAUGCAAAUAAAUAAUCUAUCAUCAAAAUGCACAUAUCAAAGAGCAUAGGAAUAAUGAAGUCACAAUUGAACAGCAAGACAAAAGUCCCUUAGUUGAUUAAUGAAGAGUUAGUCAGCUAAGAUUUAAAUCAAAGGUUGACGAGCUGAAGAGUAUUUAGAAACAGAACCAACUUAGUCGACCAAGUAAUGAGUUAGUCGACUAAGUGCACACUACCAGAAACUGGGAAUAGAAGACAAAGACAACUUAGUUGACUAAGAUAUCGGUUAGUCGACUAAGAGCAUUCUGCCUGCUAGUUUGAACUCUGCACUAAAAGACAGAUUAACGGCUAGAACCAACUCCCAACUAUUUUCAACGGCCAGAAAACUAUCAAACUGUCAUCAGAGUUGUUUCUACAAGCAUAAAAGAGGGUUCUAACAGCUAGAAAUGCAUUGAAGGCUUCCAAGAAUACACAAAAGAGCAAAAAAAUUAGAAAACAUCCUCUGCACUUUACUGCACCCAAAGCCCAUCCUUGUAAUUGUACUUUACACUUCAACUUGUACCACUUAGAUCAACAUUGUGAUCAUAGGUACACUUCUAUUUCAUUUCUCUUCAUGUUCUUAGAGUGAAAGGGUCACUUUAAGGGGUUCAAUCAAGCUAGGAUUGCUUGUUUGUGUUAAGGUUCUAACUUAGCUUUGAAAUGUUAGGUGUUGGGUUAUAGUUGAGCUCAGGAAAAACUAUUGUGAAAAGUUUUGGCCAAGCCUGG